UACGUAGGGUGCGAGCGUUGUCCGGAAUUACUGGGCGUAAAGAGCUCGUAGGUGGUUUGUCGCGUUGUUCGUGAAAACCGGGGGCUUAACCCUCGGCGUGCGGGCGAUACGGGCAGACUGGAGUACUGCAGGGGAGACUGGAAUUCCUGGUGUAGCGGUGGAAUGCGCAGAUAUCAGGAGGAACACCGGUGGCGAAGGCGGGUCUCUGGGCAGUAACCGACGCUGAGGAGCGAAAGCGUGGGGAGCGAACAGG
rnacentral:rRNA from 1 species